AAGGAUCAUUAUUGAAUGAACUUGGUGUGGUUGUUGCUGGCUCUCUUGUGGGGGCAUGUGCACACCCGCCAUCCUCAUCUCUCCACCUGUGCACCUCUUGUAGACCUGGAUGAAUUUUCCGAGGUAACUCGGUCGGGAGGAAUGCUGCGCUCUUUGCGUCGGCUUUCUUUGCACUUCCAAGCCUACGUUUUUUUCAUAUACCCGUAGUAUGUAACAGAAUGUAUCAUUGGGCCUAAGUGCCUAUAAACCUUAUACAACUUUCAGCAACGGAUCUCUUGGCUCUCGCAUCGAUGAAGAACGCAGCGAAAUGCGAUAAGUAAUGUGAAUUGCAGAAUUCAGUGAAUCAUCGAAUCUUUGAACGCACCUUGCGCUCCUUGGUAUUCCGAGGAGCAUGCCUGUUUGAGUGUCAUUUAAUUCUCAACCUUAUUAGCUUUUGUUGAUAAUGGCUUGGAUGUGGGGGUUUUCUUUUGCUGGCUUUCUUCGGAUGUCAGCUCCCCUUAAAUGUAUUAGCCGGUGCCCUGCGUGGACUAUCCGUUGGUGUGAUAAUUAUCUACGCCGUUGGAUGUCUGCAAAUAGGUUUUGCACUGCUUCUAACUGUCUGUUCAUUUGGACAAUACAUGACAAUUUGACCU
rnacentral:rRNA from 1 species